CCACGGGAGCAGAGCCACCUCUCUCUGGACUCCAGACCCACAGAAGUCAUCAGCACCAUGCAACACCAGCCUGGGAAAUCUGCAGGCACCAGCACGCAACCCCAAUGGGCUACACCCAGCAAAGCCCUGGAGAUGGGGCUGCCCAAGGUCUUGGAGCCCCUACCCUACCAGAGUGUGUCCAGUAAAAGGCUUACAACUGGAAGUACUUUGCCUUAAGUCCCAGAUGAAACUUUAGACUUUUGCUAUAGUGUUAGAAUGAGUUAAGACUUUUGGCAGUACUGAAGUGGGAAGAAAACACUUUUCAUCGUUGAAGUACUCAUAGCAGCCUAUAAUAGAGUGUGAUUUUCUAAUUAAAAUAAGAAUUUUAACAUCUCCUACAUUCGCAAAAGAGUACCUCCAAGAACAGAAACCUGUGUUUUAUCAAUCUUUCCACUGACAUUUUUAGGAGA